rnacentral:rRNA from 1 species
GAUCAUGGCUCAGGACGAACGCUGGCGGCGUGCCUAACACAUGCAAGUCGAGCGGAGAACAGGGAAGUGCUUGCACAGAACUGUUUUUAGCGGCGGACGGGUGAGUAACGCGUGAACAAGCUGUCCUUCACAGGGGAUAACACUUGGAAACAGGUGCUAAUACCGCAUAAGACCACAGGGGUGCAUGCUCCAGGGGUCAAAGGAGCAAUCCGGUGAGGGGUGCGUUCGCGUCCCAUUAG